AUUGAACGCUGGCGGCAGGCCUAACACAUGCAAGUCGAACGAGUGGCGGAAGGGUGAGUAAUGUCUGGGAAACUGCCCGAUGGAGGGGGAUAACUACUGGAAACGGUAGCUAAUACCGCAUACCAUCGGAUGUGCCAAGAUGGGAUUAGCUUGUAGGUGAGGUAACGGCGCACCUAGGCGACGAUCCCUAGCUGGGCUGAGAGGAGUACCAGCAACAGUGGAACUGAGACACGGUCCAGACUCCUACGGGGGGCAGCAGUGGGGAAUAUUGCACAAGGGGGGCAAGUCUGAUGCAGCCAUGCCGCGUGUAUGAAGAAGGCCUUCGGGUUUGAAAGUACUUUCAGCGGGGAGGCGUUACCCGCAGAAGAAGCACCGGCUAACUCCGUGCCAGCAGCCGCGGUAAUUC
rnacentral:rRNA from 1 species